AGAGUUUGAUCCUGGCUCAGAUUGAACGCUGGCGGCAGGCCUAACACAUGCAAGUCGAGCGAGAAAGGUCUUCGGACUGAGUAGAGCGGCGGACGGGUGCGUAAUGCUUAGGAAUUUGCCCAGUAGUGGGGGACAACCCGAGGAAACUCGGGCUAAUACCGCAUACGCCCCAAGGGGGAAAGGAGGGGACCUUUCGCGCUAAUGGAUGAGCCCAAGUCGGAUUAGCUUGUUGGUGAGGUAAAAGCUCACCAAGGCGACGAUCCGUAGCUGGUCUGAGAGGACGAUCAGCCACACUGGGACUGAGACACGGCCCAGACUCCUACGGGAGGCAGCAGUGGGGAAUAUUGCACAAUGGGCGCAAGCCUGAUCCAGCAAUGCCGCGUGUGUGAAGAAGGCCUGCGGGUUGUAAAGCACUUUCAGUAGAGAAGAAAAGCCUACGGUUAAUACCCGUGGGUCUUGACGUUACCUACAGAAGAAGCUCCGGCUAACUCCGUGCCAGCAGCCGCGGUAAUACGGAGGGAGCGAGCGUUAAUCGGAAUUACUGGGCGUAAAGCGCGCGUAGGCGGCUUUGUCAGUCGGAUGUGAAAGCCCUGGGCUCAACCUGGGAAUGGCAUUCAAAACUGUCUCACUAGAGUACGAUAGAGGGGGGUAGAAUUUCAGGUGUAGCGGUGAAAUGCGUAGAGAUCUGAAGGAAUACCGGUGGCGAAGGCGGCCCCCUGGAUUGAUACUGACACUGAGGUGCGAAAGCGUGGGUAGCAAACAGGAUUAGAUACCCUGGUAGUCCACGCCGUAAACGAUGUCUACUAGCCGUUGGAAUCCUUAGAGGUUUUAGUGGCGCAGCUAACGCAAUAAGUAGACCGCCUGGGGAGUACGGCCGCAAGGCUAAAACUCAAAUGAAUUGACGGGGGCCCGCACAAGCGGUGGAGCAUGUGGUUUAAUUCGACGCAACGCGAAGAACCUUACCUACUCUUGACAUCCUCGGAACUCGGCAGAGAUGCCUUGGUGCCUUCGGGAGCCGAGUGACAGGUGCUGCAUGGCUGUCGUCAGCUCGUGUCGUGAGAUGUUGGGUUAAGUCCCGUAACGAGCGCAACCCUUGUCCUUAUUUGCCAGCACGUAAUGGUGGGACUCUAAGGAGACUGCCGGUGACAAACCGGAGGAAGGUGGGGACGACGUCAAGUCAUCAUGGCCCUUACGAGUAGGGCUACACACGUGCUACAAUGGCCAGUACAGAGGGUUGCCAAGCCGCGAGGUGGAGCUAAUCUCUUAAAGCUGGUCGUAGUCCGGAUUGAAGUCUGCAACUCGACUUCAUGAAGUUGGAAUCGCUAGUAAUCGCGAAUCAGAAUGUCGCGGUGAAUACGUUCCCGGGCCUUGUACACACCGCCCGUCACACCAUGGGAGUUGGCGGCACCAGAAGUAGAUAGCUGAACCUUCGGGAAGGCGUUUACCACUUUGUGAUUCAUGACUGGGGUGAAGUCGUAACAAGGUAGCCGUAGGGGAACCUGCGGCUGGAUCACCU
rnacentral:rRNA from 1 species